rnacentral:tRNA from 1 species
UCCUGGUUAGCUAAAUUGGUAGAGAGCUCCACUGGAAAUGGAGACGUCCCUGGUUCGAUAACAGGACAAGACG